rnacentral:lncRNA from 1 species
UUGAUAGUGAUAAUAAAAGAAAAAAUAAAAAAAUAAGUUGGGUUUCUGUUUAGUAUUUCUAUGUCGUUCCUAUUAGAAAUGACACAAUAUAUACUAAUUUAGUAUCUCACGCAUAAUGUCUCUCUUUAUGUCUCACUUGUCAAAUACGGUUUUGUGUCUUUGUGUCUAUGUCUUAGCAUCCUAUCCUUUAGUUAUAAACACGCAGCUUAAGUGACUUUUCUUAACUUUUAAUUUAUGAAAAGUUACGAUAUUAAUGUGUGAUACAAUUUUCAAAACUAAUAUGCGAUUUUCUAAAAAAUUAUUUAAAGUGCUUUUAUAGAAAAUUUAAAAAAAAAAGUGACUUCUUCUGUAAUACAAAGGUUUUUUUUAUCAUUCUUCUUUUAAAAUAAGCAUUUUUGUGAUUAAAAAAACCAAAUAUAAAUGAUUUAUAUAUAAAGCUACUUUUAAUAUAAGUUCUUAUGUUUUAAACUCUUUUUAUAAGAGCUUAAUCAAGUUGUUUAUUCAAACUAGUCUUUCUUCUUUCUCAAUUCCGGUCCGUCAGACUCUGGAGGGACACAAAUUUUUUGUCCCUUCUGUUGUACAGUAGUACGGUACCCAAACUUGAAGGUACAUUUGAGUUGUGUUUUUAAUUUUUAGUAUUUUCUGUUUUUAAAAUUUUAUGAAUAAAAAAAUAAUAAAUAAAAAAAUAAAAUAUCAACCUUUUCUCUUGGUUGUUCACAAAAAAAAAACCUGACCUCGUUUUUUUGUUUACAAAAUUUUAAAGACAGAAAUAGCUGAAAAUGAAAACAGUCCUUGGCAGUUGGCAUCCAGCAUCAAAAGUAUCGAGUCUGCUGUUUUGAGACAAUAAAAAAUGCAGCUUUGAUUCUUAGUUGUAUAGUAAUUUUUUCUUGCUUGGGGUUCUGUCUUGAAGGUACCGAGUCUUUACACCUACUUGCUGAUGGGGUUUUGUAUUGGUAUAAUUUAUGAUGAUGUACUUGCUUGCCUGUUCAGAUUUAAGCCUUCUUGAUAUUUAUAAAGAAAAAGUUUAACAUAAUCUGCUCAACAUAAUGAAC